GCUGUGGAUCAUCAGCCUUAAGGAGCACUUGACUUUCGAUUCCAGUCUUUAGACAGCUUAAGCUUGAAACUUACCCCUCCAUGAAGACAUGCCAGGGCUUGCAGCUGUACUAAUUAAGUACGUUAGGUGAAGGUUUCUGAUAUGAUAAUCAACAACAAAACGGCAGCUUUUGCAUUUAAACCAUCUUAAUGAGGUGUUAGAACUGAAGCCCUUUGAGGUGAAUGGGGAAAGUUUAUACACGCUGCUAUUGUUCCAGCCCGUCUGGCUCUCCUCUCCAAACAACAGCGCGGUGAUUACCUUAACAGCCAGAACAAAACGUUUUUCCAACAAGCAUCGGGUACUCAUCAGUGUGAUUAAUCAGCCUGUAUUUGCACAGGACUUUGAAGACAGAGAAGGCUGGUGGAAGUCCUGUGGGUUAUUACUGCCCAAGUAAAACUACCCGGAUUCCACUUCCUUAUUAAGCUAGUCUGGCAAACAAUUGAAGACAUAAGUACAUAUCUUUCUUCUCCUCAAAGAAAUAUUAUUUUCAAAGCCAAGUUAGGACCAUCUAAAUGCAAGUAACUCUCCCAGGAGAUUGCCAGGGACCAAUGGAUACGAAGGCACUUUUGUAUACAAGCAUCAGCCAAGACACCGUGCAUAAAUUAUUUUUCCAUCAACAGCACUGGAAGCAAGCUUAUUUUCUCAGGCAGAUCCCAGUGCUAAAUGGGGGGAAAGGUUCAGAGGAAUAAAUACUCCCUCUUAAUUUUCUAUGAAACACCUCAUCCUGGUCUGAAAGGCAAAUCCCCAACCCCGUGUAAGGAAAAGCUGCUGCCACUGGUCUCCAGGUGUGCUACACCACUUUUGAUUGUAGCCAAAUGCCAACAGCUCCACCCGAAGAUUUUUAACUCUAGCAAAUUCGGAGCCCCACCUGAAGCCGACAGAAGAUUCUGAUUAACCCCAUUUGCAGCCUAUAGAUAAUCAAUUUUUUGGCCUUAUUUUAGUUGUGCAAUCAAUUUUAUUGUGUUAUUAAGCUAUUUCUUGUAGAAUUUGUCAUCAAUCAAAACACAAAGUAUAAUUCUGGUGUAUGGCUAGCCCUUGCAAAGAAAUAAAUGCAUUGAUGUUAGACAUCAAUUUUGUUCCGCAUAAAUAAAAAACAUUUACUUGUGUACUUUGCCCAGACAGUGUGUAGAUGUCAGACCAUGGAAAACAUUAAAAUGUUAAGGGUGUCUCCCAGAAUAAUUGUUCCCUUUAGAUAUUCUGUUGUUUGUGUGGUUUGUUUAUGGUGUGCUUUUUUAAUUAAUUAAUUGAUUGACCUGAAGCAAGCAGUUGAUUACAAAAAAAACCAACCAAACAAAAAACCAACCAACCAAACAAACAAACAAAAAACCCCCACAAACCAACCAAAAACCCCCAAAACCAAAAAAUUAAGUGUUAUCCCUAGAAAGGAAGAAAAAGAUUUAUUAAGGCCACUUAAGACCUCACUGCAAGCAAGAAACCAGUCAAUUAACAGGCUUACCCAUGUCCUUCAGAAAUUGCUCUUUGAGAAAGUUUUAUUGAACCCUUUGGUCCUUAGUAUUGCAAAACUAGAUUUCUGUACCCAUACAUGGUGUAAUUGAAGUCAUCAAGACUGUACAUAACUCUUUGUCAGAUGCAGAUAACUCUGUGAACUAUCUUCAUAGUGAACUCUCUUGUCUGACCCUAAUUUUAGAUUGAUCUCUUUAGGCACUCAUCCUGCAAAACCCAAACCAAAAUAAUAGUACUGGGGCCAAAUCCUCAGAAAGGCCUCCAGAAGAGAUGAAUUACUAGUUCAUUCCUGAAAGCAGCACAAGUAAUUUUCAGGCUCUAGUGAAAACACUAUAAGUAAUAACCAGAACUGCACAAUUAUUUCUAUAUAUUUGGUACUAAUAUAAUUGUGCCAUGACUGACUUGCUGGACAGAAAGUAGGAACGAUUAGACUCAUUAUCUUUUUGUAACAUAGACAGUGGCUAGUUCUACAAUUGCUAAUGGCAAGUACAUAAUUUCAGUUGAGGGGAGAAGGUAUUUCAAAAGCAUUUUCCUCCCUAAUUUUCAUACUUAACAGGAACAUUAAUUUGCCAGGCUGCAUCCACAGCCCUGCCAAGAAACAGAGCCUGAACACAAGCGUUCCAGUGAGAAAGUGAACAUAUCAAAUCCACCUUUCCAAAGGUAAAACUUUCAGCAAGAGCUAAUGAAAGCAUCUGAGUGAGUAACCCCUUGAAGGACUUGUGAUUUGCUGGAAGGAAUGGAAAAAUGGGGCGCUGUUGUCUGCUCUUGGUAAUGUCUUUUGGGCCAGAAGUGCCAUGGCUCCUAAGGAGGUUGUGGAGUGCAGUUUCCUCUGCUGCCAGGCAGGACCUCAGGGCUUCAGUCCCAGUUGUUGAUAACAGCAGUUGUUCCAGAAAAAUGAUUUUCUGGAAAAACUGCACAGUUCAGGAUGUGCUGUAUCCCAAUUGUGAUGUUUAACAGGCCAUUAUGAGUACAGUAUCUACCUUCGUGCACCUAGACUUCCUAUCUCCCUCCUUGUGGUUCAUUUUCCACAUCUCUAAUGCAAAAAAAACCCACCACAAAGCCUAGAAAGCCAUUUUUCAACCAAGGUAAUCCAAGAAGACUCCAGGAGAUGAGAGUUCAGGAAACAAAAAAAAAAAAAGGAAAGCUGUUUCCUUCAACUUUACUGAUGAUUUUUUUUCCUAAAUUUUCAGAGCAUGGAAGAAAUAUGUUUUUAUUG
rnacentral:lncRNA from 1 species